rnacentral:rRNA from 1 species
AAUGAACGUUGGCGGCGUGGAUUAGGCAUGCAAGUCGCGCGACAAGGAACCUUCGGGUUCUGGAGGAGCGGCAAACGGGGUAGUAAGGCAUCGGAACGUACCCUCUUGUUGGGAAUAGCCGCGGGAAACUGCGAGUAAUGCCCAAUAAUCCCUACGGGGCAAAGGUCCGCCGCAGGAGGAGCGGCCGAUGUGAUACCAGCUAGUUGGUGAGGUAAUGGCUCACCAAGGCUUAGACGUCUAGGGGGUGUGAGAGCAUGGCCCCCACCACUGGGACUGAGAUACUGCCCAGACACCUACGGGUGGCUGCAGUCGAGAAUCUUCGGCAAUGGGCGCAAGCCUGACCGAGCAACGCCGCGUGCGGGAUGAAGG